rnacentral:rRNA from 1 species
UACGAAGGGGGCUAGCGUUGUUCGGAAUCACUGGGCGUAAAGCGCACGCAGGCGGAUUGAUAAGUCAGGGGGGAAAUCCCGGAGCUCAACUUCGGAAUUGCCUUUGAUACCGUCUGUCUUGAGUCCGGGAGAGGUGAGUGGAAUUCCUAGUGUAGAGGUGAAAUUCGUAGAUAUUAGGAAGAACACCAGUGGCGAAGGCGGCUCACUGGCCCGGUACUGACGCUCAUGUGCGAAAGCGUGGGGAGCAAACAGG